rnacentral:lncRNA from 1 species
GACCUACCACUGGCAAAAUAUGCUCUAUGAAAAAUUGAAGAUGAAAGAGAAGGAGGUUAUGUCAUUUCUGCACAACUUAGAGAUGGAGUACAUUGAGGCCCGCAAGAACAACCAGGAGCUCAAGAAGGAGAUAAAUCUCUAUCAUAACCUGCACAGCUGGCUCCUGAUGGAGAGGAAUCUUAUAAAGAAGAAGUUGGUGAUAUUGAAGCAGGAGAGCAAGAAAGUACAGGCUGAUUAGGCCCUUAUUCAUCAAUAUUUGGUGGAUUUGAACCUGAGUGGUAAAGACGAACAGGAGAAGACCAGCAACUUUGAGACUCAAGAGCAUCAGAAACUGCAAGAGAGCUGGGAUUGCCCAUAGCCCAAGAAUAGAGCAUCCUGCAGAAUGAGUUGCCACCCUAAGUGCCCCCUGCUGAGCACCAUCCCCAGCAUCCACAAUCUUCCUUGGAUGAAU